AUUGAACGCUGGCGGCAGGCUUAACACAUGCAAGUCGAGCGGGGGAGGUUGCUUCGGUAACUGACCUAGCGGCGGACGGGUGAGUAAUACUUAGGAAUCUGCCUAUUAAUGGGGGACAACAUCUCGAAAGGGAUGCUAAUACCGCAUACGCCCUACGGGGGAAAGCAGGGGAUCACUUGUGACCUUGCGUUAAUAGAUGAGCCUAAGUCGGAUUAGCUAGUUGGUGGGGUAAAGGCCUACCAAGGCGACGAUCUGUAGCGGGUCUGAGAGGAUGAUCCGCCACACUGGGACUGGAACACGGCCCAGACUCCUACGGGAGGCAGCAGUGGGGAAUAUUGGACAAUGGGGGGAACCCUGAUCCAGCCAUGCCGCGUGUGUGAAGAAGGCCUUAUGGUUGUAAAGCACUUUAAGCGAGGAGGAGGCUCUUUUGGUUAAUACCCAAGAUGAGUGGACGUUACUCGCAGAAUAAGCACCGGCUAACUCUGUGCCAGCCGCCGCCGUAAUAC
rnacentral:rRNA from 1 species